GCCACCGGUUGCACAUAUCCCCCUUUCUGCCUUCCACCCUCCUCAGUGGUUUUCUGUUUCCUCCUAGAGCAGAGGCUCCCGGCAGGCAGCUGCACUCAUUCACUCUGCACUCAAGGUGUGCAAACAGCUUCAGAACAAUCACUGACGUGGGACACCAUGGAGAGACUUCAUACGUCAGGUAGAAGGCUGGAACCGACAACAGCGAAGGCACCUCCUGACUGGGAGAUUCGGGAAAUUCCUCCGUGCUGGACCGCACCCGCCCUUGAGGACCUCCCGAUCUCUUUGGGCAGAACGGAAGCCAGACAGAGACGGGGACUGCGAAGUGACAAUCCCCAGCCCUGUAUGUGCCAGGAGCCCCUGAGGGGCAGGCGGCCAUGCGGCAGGAGGGCAGGGGCCGCCGAGGGAGCCGGGCCUGGGCUGCUGGGACAGAGCGCUUCUCAGAGGAGGUGGGGACCCCGUGGAGUACGUGACUCUGGCCCCUCCAGCCUGCGCACACUCCAGUUAGCGGGACAGAGACCCCUCCCCACCCAUCCUUAACCUUCCACAGCUUCCCGCUCUGCUGGGAGGCCCUGUCACCACACACACACACACCCUUCCCAGACACCCCCGAGAGGACCAGCUGCAGCUGGGGGGUGGGGAGAGCACCGUCAGGGUUCUCGGAUCGCUCGCCCCCAACUGCUGAGCCGCUUCGAGGUUUAAAGCAAAACAUGAUUCUGUCCUUCCUGCCGCUCCGAGGCACCCGCGUUAUUUUUAGCAGGGAUGCAGGGCAGGCACAUUUCUCCUUGACUUUCACUGGGGACAUCCCCCCACCCCCCAGCCAAGACUCAGCCUGGGGAGGCCAGGACGGAAACCCCCCUCCCAGAAAGGGGAAACGGGUGUGUUUUCUGUUCCUUCAACUCACCAGAACAGGAGUUACGGUCAAGCUUGGGGUUGCACUGAUGGGAAAUUCUAGGCUCCAAAGCCCA
rnacentral:lncRNA from 1 species